rnacentral:rRNA from 1 species
GCAAGUCGAGCGAGACGCCUAAUUUAUUAAGUUGAAAGCGGCGGACGAGCGAGUAACACGUAAGCACUUGCCCCGUACUCAGGGAUAACAUCAUGAAAGUGGUGCUAAUACCGGAUGGACCCGCAAGGGUAAAGAUUUAUCGGUACGGGAGGAGCUUGCGGCUUAUCAGUUAGUUGGUGGGGUAAAGGCCUACCAAGACUAUGACGAGUAGCUGGUGUGAGAGCAUGAGC